UGUCUGUUGUAUAGUACGCAAAGGGCCUGAAUAUCUAAGAAUGUUUUGCAGCUUCUAAUAUAUCCAUAACUUGUUCAUUAUGUACGGAGCUGCGCUCUCAUGCUAACGGACCUGCUUUCUCAUGCUCACGGAGCUGCGCUCUCAUGCUAACGGAGCUGCGCUCUCAGGCUGAUGGCGCUGCGCUCUCAGGCUGAUGGAGCUGCGCUCUCAUGCUAACUGAGCUGCGCUCUCUUGCUGAAGGAGUUCAGUUCUGUCCACAUAAAGAUGAUGAGAAACUUUUGACACUUCAUCAAGAGGACACAAUCUAAACAUGUGAGAUGAGUUUCACCGUUUCAAUCAAAGCUUCCUCCCUGAAUGAACCGAGAAAGGACGACUCAAAGACAACAACAACAUUCACAUCUGAUUUAGCCCCUGGUUAAAUUAAUAAAAGUCAGUCAUAUUUACAGACUUUAUUUACAGAGCUUUUAUUUUGAAGGCAUACAGAGGUGGAAUUAUUGUAGCUGUUUACUUUUUAUUUGUGUACUUUAAUUUGUGUAUUUGUGUAGCAAUUUGUGUAUUCUUGUGUGUAUUGUAGGUCUAGCUGUCAGCCAGCUGGUCCUGAGCUCUUGGACAGUUUGGGUUCGGUGUGUAAACGGAGACCUGGCUCGACGUUACGGCGUCUCUGACAGAAACCCUGCUGGGGAUUACUGGAAGAAGAUCCCCGGAAACGCCAACUGGUUUACAGUAACCCCUGAGGACGAGUUGUGGGCGGUGACUCUGAUUGGUGGAUUGUCCCGUCGCCUGACAAAGCUCCUCCCACAGACCCCCUGUAGGCCCGCCCCCUCGGGCCCCUCCCUCACAGCAGACGACGUUGAGGACGAAUGGGAGCUCAUCUGAGCUGUGACAUCACUUUGUCUGAUGUGGGUUUACCUGGAGGGACGCUGUGAUGUCAUAGUGACAUCAUUUUAUUAAUAAACUUCCCCUACUUAGGUGAGGUACAUACUUCCUGUUUGUACCUGGCUUCUUCCUGACACUAAUUGGGAUGGUGACAUCACUUCCUGUGAAUUAAAUUCUUUUGAGGAAUGUACUUAAACAAGAUGGCAAGAAACAAGAUUUCCACACAGGAAACCCAGGUGGCUGCUGGGAAGUGAAGUGAACUCAAACUGUGUUUUAUUUGUUCUAAUAGGAAGCACUUUAAUCUCUGAAGGGACACUGGGCUAACGAUAAACCGGUUCUGACUGGUUCUAAAGCUGCACUGACUUCCUCUGAUCUGGUUCAGUCCGGUUCUAACCCGAACUAACUUGAUCCUAAACUUUGACCUCUAAGCUCAAGUUCAGCCGGGAACCGGCCCGCUUUAGUUUGGUAGAUUGGCUGUAGCUGGUUGUUAGUAUUUCAGCGUCGCUUCUGUGUAGGUCUAACUGGUUUUAACAGGUUCUGAUUGGUUGUGACUGGUUGUAACUGGUUUUCACUGGUUCUGAUGGGUUGUAACCGGUUCUAACUGGUUCAGAUCAGCUCAAACAGGUUCUGAUUGGUCUUAAGCUGGCAAUUUUGAUAUAAUUGGGUUCAGUGUGGUUGUACUAUAUUUGGGGACGUCAAAGGGACGAUUAACUGCAAAGGGAAAUCUGAACAUUUAAACUAGUUCUAACCGGUUCUAACUGGUUCAAACCAGUUUGAAAUCUUCCAGAGUUCCCAGUUUUGUUGAGUCUGAUGAACCUGGUCUGGUUCUAAAUGAGGAAAUUAAAGGGACAUUUUGUUACAGAGGAUUAUUUUACAUUUAUUUUAAACCGGUUCAAACCAGUUCACAGUUUAGACUGGAUCCAGCUAGUUUGAACUCGUUCUGAGGUUUUUAUCUCGGUCUAGUUUAGUCUGAGACACUAAAGGGACAUUUUAGUCCAGAGUCACGUAUUUACUCAAAUCAAGUUUAGUCUGGUUCAGACCAGCUCAAACUGGAUCGUAUAAUCCCAGAGUCCAGUUCUGAAAGGAUUUAAAGGGAAGUUUCACUGCACAGAACCUUUUUCUGCAGUUUGUUCUGGUUUUACUGGAUCAGUGUAGGUUAUACUGAGUAAAACCAGUUCAAACUGGUUCUUGUGUGCUGGUUUGCUCAUCCUGCACUCUGCUUAAUGGGUCACAGAGCAGAAUCAGCUUCAAGCUAAAUAAAAAAGGAACAUUUCAAACUGUUUGACCAGAAUCUGGGAAUUUAACGAAGUAAGAAUCUUCUGGAGUUUAUUAUUUAUCAAGAGCAACAACCAAAUAUUCAAAUCUUUGAAAUACUUAUUUAAUACCUGUACACGAGUCGGUCGAGACCAGUAUAAACCAGUUUAAUCCACUGUAAAGCGGUUUAUACUGGUUUCCAGCAUUGACUCCGCCCCCCUGACAGGAACCAGAUCACACUGACCAGCCCACUGGGACUGAUCCAUUAAAAAAAACUGUAAAAAUGUAAAUUUGA